GGUUUGGUGCCUGUGUCUUCCAUGGGAGCCUUGCAGCCUGGGGCACUGUGUCCUGGUAGGACCAGCAAGUGCCUGGCUACUCUGAACAAAAUAUCACUUAAUAAGACCCCUGUUUACCUCGCCUUGUAACAGCGAUCUACAGACGGACACCCACAGGUCCAAAUCCAGGUUCGGCCCUCGCUAAGCCUGCCUUCCCAUAUUCUCGCUCUGCUUUUUCUAUGACUUUAGGUUUGCCUGCCUCAGUUAACUCUGAUCUCCAUGAGGACAGAAUCUGUCUUGAAGUCUUUGACCCCCGGGCGCUAGCCUUCAGCACUUGGGACGGCUUCUCAUCAUCACCAGGAUUGUGUAAGGGAGCAGCCAUCACUGCUGGAGUUUGAAGGGACCGAUAAGCAUACAAAGCAGAGAGACAGACGAAGUAAUGGGUCAGCCAAAAUGUGAAUGGAAGCCGAAUUGGAGAACAAGACUCCGAGGAGCAGCAACCCAGGGUCUCCGGAUGCUCUUGCCUCCAAGUUGGUCCUACAGGAGCCCCCUCAACAGAUAUUCGGGGUCUUCAGAAUGGAUGCUGACAUCCCUCCACUUAUCCAGACAAGGUCUCUCUCAUGGCAUAAACUAUGAAAACGGUAGAUAGCUAUUCCCCUGUGGGGAAUGAAGGUGGGUAGCUUAUGAGUAAUGUUAAAUUAAUGUUCCUUCCACACAUUUAUUGAGGGCCUGUUAUUUCCUAGGCAGUUCUGGAUGUUUAGGAGACGCACAUAGAAUAGAAACUCCCCAGGGAAUUGACAGCAUGGAAGAGGACGUGACCACGUAUAUCAGUCAUUGCACCGGAGACUGAAAUGUAGGUUGCAUCGGCGGUGUGAUCCAGGUGCCGGGACAGCUUGGUUGGGGCAAGGAGUUCUGAGCUGGGGAGCUGAGGGAACGUUCUAGGAGUUGGCCCUUUGGCGGAGGCUUCAACACCUCUAUCUAGUACAGGUGGCGACGUUACAGACCCAGCCUACAUGAGUGACUGAAUCCUACCCUGCCAGGCAUCCCAACAGCCUCCUUUGCGUUUCCAGGACAGACAUGUGUCUAGGAGUCAAAAGCAUUUUGUUGGAGCUGUGCGGUGUGCCACACCCAAUGCAGAGACCACUCUCCAAGGCUGAGGUGUCAUAUGCUGCUAAGGCUCAAGGCACUGAUGGCCUCUUCCUUCUGCCCCCCCUGACCAGCCUUCCUGACCCCACAUCAUGUCUGAUUCUUGGCACCUGCUAUACUCAGGUUUCUUAUAGACAGAGACUGAUGGGGUUCAAGUGGACUCAGGUCCGAUUACCCAUCUGCAACAUGGAAUCUGGAAGAGGGAGAAACUGGUACAGAUGGCCUGCCUUGAGAGACCAGGCCUGCCGAGGUCCGCUUGCCACAUUUGGGUAGGAAUUGCAAGAGAGGUGCAAGUGUGCCUGACCUAUGAGGCCACCUCCUGGUGCACGUGGCUUAGCAAACUCCUCGAAUAUUGACCAGUUCAGUUGACCAGUUCUGCCAUGGCUGGGAAAGGUGGCACUGAGACUAACACUUCUACCCAUAAGGAGCAGAAAAGAAAUAUUCCUGUGUGUUUCAGCCUCCAUGUGUGAAACAAUAGAUGUUUGCAGACCUGCCAGUGUCCUGUAAUCAGAAGGAUGGCAAAUGGGCAGAUGGUGAGGGCGGGAUGAGCCUGGGAAUGCAGGGUUAGCUAGAGAGCAAAGUCUCUCUGAAACGUAUUAUCUUUUUUCAUUUAUAUUUCACACAUGUUACCAGUCUCUUUUUAUAAAUAAGAACACAGAGGCUCAGGAGUCCCCUUGUGGCACAGUGAGCCAAGGAUCUGGCGUCAUCACUGCUGUGGCUCAGGUAGCUGCUAUGGCACAGGUUCAGUCCCUUGCCAGGAGAACUCCAUGUGCAGCAGGCAUGGCCCAAAUAAACUGAGGCUCAGAAAGGUUAAGAGAAUUAUCCCAAGUCACACAGCUUAGAAUUGUUGAAACCAGCCAUCAAAUUGUUUUUUUUUCCUAGUCCUACUUUCUUUCACUCACUUGGGAUUGGCUUCAGUGCUGCAUAAUUUAAAAUGUUAUUCACAUAAGUGAGGUAGAAUUAUCACCAUUUAAUAGAUACGAUUUUCGUCACUGCUACUCAAAAUUGAUCUAAUUUUAAAACCUUUGGAACUUUGAAGUGCUACUAUCUAAAUACACCUAAGUGUCUUAGAGUACUUUGGAACUUUUAUUAUAUGCAAGUCCUCUAAAAUGUGGUAUUGUUAAAAAAUGACUUGGGAGUCUUUAUUCAAAAUACGGAAAACCUUCAGCAUUUGAAGCUUAAAAGCAAAUUGCAAUUACUGAAAACAAAGCUUGCAAAUAGGAAGAUGUUAAAAUGCAUCCUUACAAAAACAAGGGGAGAUCUGAAAAAAUAAAAAAGAAUAGUUAGAGCUCAAAGGGGGUACUAUAUUUAACUUUCAAAUGUGAAAAUUGUUUGAUUUGAGAGAGAAAAAUCUUUUGACAUAAGUCCUAUUUUUAAUUGGAUAAGUUGAUAUUCUGUUCUGAAAUGGAAGAAGAUUGAAAAAAAGCCUAUAAUUUUGCAGCUCUAAAUUUAGCAAAAUAUUCAAACAAAAUCAAAAUAUAAUCAAUUUAUUUCAUAUAGUUUUUCUUAUAAACAUGUGUACAUUGUAGAAAAGCACUCUUCAUGGAGGCAAACUGACUAUUUCUAAAAAUACUUAUGCCAACAUUUUUACAUAUUUCAGUAUAAAAAUGGAAUGGAGCAUAUUUCUCAUUUAACUGAAUUUCCUUUAAACUUAACUGGAGUAUCUCUUUACCUAUAGCAAGAGAGUUUCCCAGUUAAAAUUAUAAUGGUCUGCUGAAAAUAAACAAUUUUUAGGUACCCAUUAUCUCAAGUUUAUCAUCCAUACAGUGCAUCUUUGAAAAAGAUCGGGGAUAAUUUUAUAAAAAAAAAACUGUAAGACUUAAAAACACCUUCUUCAGAAGAUAUCACUGACGCUGUAAUAAAGUCAGAUGUAUAUUUGAUUAAAGAAUGUGAAUAGCACCAAGAAAAAUGAUUUUAAAUAUUCUUACUUUUAAUAUUAGAUAAUAAAAAUGUAAAGAGAUUUUUAAUGCUUUCCUUGGAAUACAUGAACCCUUGAUAUUUUAAAUUUUUAGAAAGAUUUUUUCUGAAAAUAGUUUCAAUAUAGAAGUUUUCAGAGGUCUACGAAUAUAAUAAAGUCUUUCUUCGUAUAUAUUUAUGUAAACAUAUAAGUAUGUGUGCUACAUAUAUAUGUGGUAUUUAUAUGUAUUUGUAGAUAUAUGUGUAUGCUUUUAGAACGCCCUUUGGAAUAUUUCAGAAACUGGAAAAUAUGAAAUAUCAUCUCUUUAGGUGGGAGCUCUCAUGGCAGGCAAACCAGAUCAAACCUCCACCAUAAGUAGCAGUGUCUGGAGGUAAGCUUCCCUUGCCAGAGACAUCUCCUUAUCUCCCCUCUCUCUGCCUCUCUCGCUAUCUAACUGUCUGUCUACCAUCUGUCAAUCGUUUAUCUUCAGUGUAUUUCUCCUUUUGGGGAAAUGACUGUAUAGUAAUGUUUAUUAUAAAAGUAGUAGAAUAAAAGUAACCAUUAGUCACAAAAAAAAA
rnacentral:lncRNA from 1 species